rnacentral:rRNA from 1 species
UACAGAGGGUGCGAGCGUUGUUCGGAAUUACUGGGCGUAAAGCGCGCGUAGGUGGUGUGUUAAGUCUGUCGUGAAAGCCCUGGGCUCAACCUGGGAAUUGCGAUGGAUACUGGCAAGCUAGAGUACGGUAGAGGAUGGUGGAAUUCCCGGUGUAGCGGUGAAAUGCGUAGAGAUCGGGAGGAACACCCGUGGCGAAGGCGGCCAUCUGGACCAGUACUGACGCUGAGGCACGAAAGCGUGGGGAGCAAACAGG